UUGCUGUUAAGCCGUGGCCAGUGGUAGAAGAUGGAGCUAGGAGCAGAAGAGAACUUGACGUGACAUUACCAUGCUGGCGUCUUUCCCACUCGGUGGUCUUUGUGCUGUUUUGUCUUUCAUAUUUAUUAGUGAGUGGACCAUUUCUAAAAGUAAAACUGUCAAGGAAGGCAACUUUGAAGUGUUUGCUCUUGUGUAAUGUAUACCUGUCUACUUAAAACUGGACAGCAACCAUCCUUUCACCCAGACAACCAAUGGCCAAUCCUGAUCAGAUGGCCAAUCCUGAUCUACAAUAAGUAUUUAUUCCAAACAUGCCUCGUAUUUGUAAGUAAAGAAAGUAAUCUGUAAUUCUUAUGCAACAAAUAAUGGAAAAAAUAAUGCAGCUCUUUCCAUUUUGUUUGUAACUAAAGGAAGUAACCCUAACUUAUCAACAAGUAAGAAAAAGGAAGAAUAUGCAGUAUGUCCACCCUUACUAUCUUUUCUGUAUUCAUUGUAGUUUUUCACUUAAUAUUCUAAAUACUACAUCAUAGAAUAACAUUGCAAACAUACAACUAGAAAAUGUUUUUCCUUCAUAAUGAACAUGUCUGACCUAAGAGAGAAGCAUUGUUUUCA